rnacentral:rRNA from 1 species
AUUGAACGCUGGCGGGAUGCUUUACACAUGCAAGUCGAGCGGCAGCGCGGGGGCAACCCUGGCGGCGAGCGGCGAACGGGUGAGUAAUACAUCGGAACGUGUCCUUAAGUGGGGGAUAGCUCGGCGAAAGCCGGAUUAAUACCGCAUAAGCUCUGAGGAGGAAAGCGGGGGCUCCGUAAGGACCUCGCGCUGUUGGAGCGGCCGAUGUCGGAUUAGCUAGUUGGUGGGGUAAAGGCCCACCAAGGCGACGAUCCGUAGCUGGUCUCAGAGGAUGAUCAGCCACACUGGAACUGAGACACGGUCCAGACUCCUACGGGAGGCAGCAGUGGGGAAUUUUGGACAAUGGGGGCAACCCUGAUCCAGCCAUUCCGCGUGAGUGAAGAAGGCC